UUGUCUAGCACCUUCUUUCUCGUUCUGACAGGCUGGAUGCAGGCCUACUGCCCUCCCAGAAGCCGUCUGGACUCUGCCGCGGCCUCUACCUUUUCCCUCACCCAAGGAGGAAUCAAACUCAAGCCCUCAGCAGUGAAUAUAUAAAGCCCUAAUCACUGGACCACCAGGGAAUUCCCUCAAAAUUUAUUUUUUAAAAUUGUAUGUGACAAGAACUUGCUCAUGGAAUACAGGGCAAGAUGGUAAAAGGAAUUAAAACUGAAGCUGGAAUGCUCAGGAAAGAAUCAGGAAACAAUAAAAUCACAGAUAUAAAGACUACAUUGGAAAUGGAACAAGGAAAUUGACUUCAAAAAACUUCUUAAAGGAUAUAGAAAACAAGAAUAGUGAAAAAAUAAAAUGGAAAUGGGCAAAGAUGAGCUAGAAAGUUAUAUGAAACAUGAAGUUCAAUGUAUUCAUAAAUGGUAUGCCUUCAGAAGAGACCGCAGUAAUGGACCAAAAAAUAUUUCAAGAUAUUAUUCAAGAAAACUUUCCAGAAAUGAAGACCUUAAUCUACAGAUUGAAGGGGAACAACAUGUAUUAAAAAAUAUACAGAUGAUCAAUAGGAAGACAUGUCCUCAUAGUACUACUUAUCUCCAAAGAAAUAAUACUUUAUUUUUCUCAGAAAAACAAAAAAAAGUCAAGUUAUUUGUAAUGGGAAGUAUAUAUAUCAGCCUUUCAUAGGCUUCAAUAGCCACACCCAAUGAUAGAGGCUAUGUUUAUAAAGUCCCUAAGGCAAUUAAUUGUGAUAAAAGAAUUUCGUGAUAAUAA